GAUGAACGCUGGCGGCGUGCCUAAUACAUGCAAGUCGAGCGAACGGACGAGAAGCUUGCUUCUCUGAUGUUAGCGGCGGACGGGUGAGUAACACGUGGAUGACCUACCUAUAAGACUGGGAUAACUUCGGGAAACCGGAGCUAAUACCGGAUAAUAUUUUGAACCGCAUGGUUCAAAAGUGAAAGACGGUCUUGCUGUCACUUAUAGAUGGAUCCGCGCUGCGUUAGCUAGUUGGUAAGGUAACGGCUUACCAAGGCAACGAUGCAUAGCCGACCUGAGAGGGUGAUCGGCCACACUGGAACUGAGACACGGUCCAGACUCCUACGGGAGGCAGCAGUAGGGAAUCUUCCGCAAUGGGCGAAAGCCUGACGGAGCAACGCCGCGUGAGUGAUGAAGGUCUUCGGAUCGUAAAACUCUGUUAUUAGGGAAGAACAUAUGUGUAAGUAACUGUGCACAUCUUGACGGUACCUAAUCAGAAAGCCACGGCUAACUACGUG
rnacentral:rRNA from 1 species